CUGACGCAGCAACGCCGCGUGAAUGAAGAAGGCCUUCGGGUUGUAAACUUUUUUUGAUUGGGGAAGAAAAAAAUGACGGUACCCAAUGAACAAGCCACGGCUAACUACGUGCCAGCAGCCGCGGUAAUACGUAGGUGGCGAGCGUUGUCCGGAAUUACUGGGUGUAAAGGGCGUGUAGGCGGGAUUGUAAGUCAGAUGUGAAAUUCCAGGGCUUAACUCUGGAGGUGCAUCUGAAACUAUAAUUCUUGAGUGCUGGAGAGGAAAGCGGAAUUCCUAGUGUACCGGUGAAAUGCGUAGAUAUUAGGAAGAACACCAAGUGGCGAAGGCGGCUUUCUGGACAGUAACUGACGCUGAGGCGCGAAAGCGUGGGGAGCAAACAGGAUUAGAUACCCUGGUAGUCCACGCUGUAAACGAUGGAUACUAGGUGUAGGAGGUAUCGACCCCUUCUGUGCCGGAGUUAACACAAUAAGUAUCCCACCUGGGGAGUACGGCCGCAAGGCUGAAACUCAAAGGAAUUGACGGGGGCCCGCACAAGCAGUGGAGUAUGUGGUUUAAUUCGAAGCAACGCGAAGAACCUUACCAGGGCUUGACAUCCCUCGGAUAACAUAGAGAUAUGUUAGUCCUUCGGGACGAGGAGACAGGUGGUGCAUGGUUGUCGUCAGCUCGUGUCGUGAGAUGUUGGGUUAAGUCCCGCAACGAGCGCAAUCCCUAUUGUUAGUUGCCAUCAUUAAGUUGGGCACUCUAACGAGACUGCCGGUGACAAAUCGGAGGAAGGUGGGGACGACGUCAAAUCAUCAUGCCCCUUAUGUCCUGGGCUACACACGUACUACAAUGGUCACUACAAAGGGAAGCAAUACCGCAAGGAGGAGCAAAUCCCCAAAGGUGACCUCAGUUCGGAUUGUGGGCUGAAACCCGCCCACAUGAAGUCGGAAUUGCUAGUAAUGGCAGGUCAGCAUACUGUCGUGAAUACGUUCCCGGGCCUUGUACACACCGCCCGUCACACCAUGAGAGUUUGCAACAC
rnacentral:rRNA from 1 species